GCGUGGAUCGGCCCGCUGCGUCCGACGCAGGGGGCUGGGGGAUAUCGCCGCCUCAUUCCCCGCAGGCGGUGGACCGGUCCGGGGGGCGAGGCCCGCCUCCCGGACCGUG
rnacentral:ncRNA from 1 species